rnacentral:rRNA from 1 species
CAGUAGCCGCGGGAAUACGUAGGCAGCGAGCGUUGUUCGGAAUUACUGGGCGUAAAGAGUGUGUAGGCGGUGCUCUAAGUUCGGUGUGAAAUCUCCCGGCUUAACUGGGAGGGUGCGCCGGAAACUGGAAUGCUCGAGCGUGGGAGAGGAAAGCGGAAUUCCUGGUGUAGCGGUGAAAUGCGUAGAUAUCAGGAGGAACACCUGUGGUGUAGACGGCUUUCUGGACCAUAGCUGACGCUGAGACACGAAAGCGUGGGUAGCAAACAGGAUUAGAUACCCCUGUAGUCCCUGUCUCUUAUAC